rnacentral:misc_RNA from 1 species
ACUAGGUGAAUCGUUUGUUGUGAUCAAUGUUGAACGAAUUGCAUCCUUUUUUAAUACUCGAUAUUUUCUCCGUGAGAAAGAGACAAUGUUACACAAUAAAUAAACGUAAUUACGGAUAUAAAUGACUGAAUUAAUAGCUCACAAGUACGUUAUGAUGCACAAUAAUAAUGGAUCAUAUGGCAGCGCGAGUGAUCUGCUGGACAGCCAUGUGCUGGGGCGCGACAAGCAGGAGGAACCCGCCAUGGAGCGAUCUACGAGGUCCAGCCUUGACGCCAACAGUGUUGACAUCGGUGAAAUAACGGAAUCUCCUGAUACGGAGUAUAUGAGUACGUCUGCUAUUCUACACUAUUGUAAAUCUAAGAUAUUGCUUCCUUACCUCAAACUUUUAACAAUAAUGGGAUUGCGACCAGUCGUCGAUUCGUCAAAUUCCUCAAGAGUAGCUAUAUGUUUGUCACACUUCCACUCUGCGCAAGUUGCAGUAUUUAUGUGUUUAGGAUACAUUCUUCAGUACAUGGCAUGUUUCAGGCGAGACCGGGGUUUCUGCUACAAGCUGGUGCCGCUAGCGCUGGAGUCUUCGAUGGAGUACGAGACGUACAAGCAAGUGUGCUACGGGAACGUGACGCUGACGUACAUCGGGCCGAGCAUACUGCACUUCCUGGGGUUCCUCUACGCGCUCUACUUGUUUAGAAUAUCCGAUAAUGAGCAACUCCAGAAUCUUAUGGAAAGGGUAUUCCUACUAUCGUCGUAUACACAGCAGGGCGUGGCUUCUGCCAACCCCAAGCGGCUCUUACGUCUGCUAUGGGCGUUCAUCAUACUGAGCGUGUUGUGGAUGUGCAUGUCGCUCUGCUCCGUCAACCUGAUGAUGGCCGAGGGAACCAUCAUGUUCCGGUGGAUGGAACAGAGUUCGAAACAAACAUUAUUAAUCCUGAAGAUCCUACUCGUGGCCUGCACGCUAGUCCACGACAUGGUUCAAGCGACCAUCAUCACGAGCUACUGCCUGCAAGCUCAGUUAUUGCAAGCGCACCUCAUGUACCUCAAGGAGCGGCUGCUCAACCGCUCGACCACGCCGCUUAACUGGAUGCGAGAAAUCGCCGAAUUCCAGAAGCUUCUCAAGUACCUAAACGACGACCUAGCACCAGCGGUAUGCUUGUUCACGAUCGUGAACAUCUCGUGGGUAGCGUCAGGUGCUAUGUGGAUGUACAGCCUGGAUAAGGUGGAUACGCAGACGGAGCCCAUCGUUGGGAUUAGUCUACUGAAUUUGCUGCUGUGGAUCUUCGCGGCGAUUGUGCCCUUUAUACAGGCAGCCCGCCUCUCAAAAGAGUGCCGGCGGACAGAGAGCGUAGGCCACGAGCUCUGCGUCCGUCCGUUCCUGCACCAGGACACGCCACACGAAGACGUUGCAGCCGUACUUAUGUACUCCACUACACUGAGACUAAGGGCCAAGUUGUUCCACCAUCCUGUUGCUGGACGAUAUCUGUGGCUGAUGCUUACUAUCACAUUGGUAGGGCUGUUCUCACUGGGAAUGUGCCAUUACAUAUAACGACUCGGUCUUCCCACAAUACGAUUCAUUUCGCUUCAGUGAUACUACCACAGCCAUCCUACUGUUGGUCACGCUCUACUGGUACCCAGAAAGUCUUCAAGCGAACGUAGAUUUAAUUAACUGUUUGAAUUGGUCGCCACAUCUAUAACCGUGAACCGUCGCUACUUUCUGGUCCCGUACAGUCUGAAACCAGCGACACUAGAAGACGAAGAUUGGUGCAACUUAUUCUUACGCGUUAGGGUGCGCGCACACGGGCGACAAAGUUGCUCGGCGACUUUCGUAUUUGUAUGAAAAGUUGCGUCGCCUCGUGUGCGCACCUUCAUACUAGCCCAUAGACCGAGCGACGGAGACAAAACAGUUUUGUCUCCCGUCUGUGGGGGCCCUUAAAGUGCUUGGCGGUCAAAGAAUGUAAGGCUACCGCGUUCCGGUAGCUCAGGCAGGACAAUGCUCAAAUAUUAAUAUGAGCACACACGUAACACUCAUUUCUCUGCCAGUCAGCAGAAUUACCUAAUAU